CCUACGGGAGGCAGCAGUGGGGAAUUGUUCGCAAUGGGCGCAAGCCUGACGACGCAACGCCGCGUGGAGGAUGAAGACCUUCGGGUCGUAAACUCCUUUCGAUCGAGACGAAUGUUUUCCGGGUGAACAAUCCGGAAAAGUGACGGUACCGAGAGAAGAAGCCCCGGCUAACUCUGUGCCAGCAGCCGCGGUAAUACAGGGGGGGUCAAGCGUUGUUCGGAAUUACUGGGCGUAAAGGGCUUGUAGGUGGCCAACUAAGUCAGACGUGAAAUCCCUCAGCUUAACUGGGGAACUGCGUCUGAUACUGGAUGGCUUGAGUUUGGGAGAGGGAUGCGGAAUUCCAGGUGUAGCGGUGAAAUGCGUAGAUAUCUGGAGGAACACCGGUGGCGAAGGCGGCAUCCUGGACCAACACUGACACUGAGGAGCGAAAGCCAGGGGAGCAAACGGGAUUAGAUACCCCGGGUAGUCCUGGCCCUAAACGAUGAAUGCUUGGUGUGGCGGGUAUCGAUCCCUGCCGUGCCGAAGCUAACGCAUUAAGCAUUCCGCCUGGGGAGUACGGUCGCAAGGCUGAAACUCAAAGGAUUGACGG
rnacentral:rRNA from 1 species